AAAAUGAAAUGGUAAAUUGGUUAAAACCAAUUAAGGGUAAAAUGGGAAUUUUUAAAUUUUUGUAGGGGUAUGAGAUUAAUUGUAGGGGUACAAGGUAAAAUUUUCCGAAAUGAUUUGUUCAAUCUAAUAUAAUUUGUAAAUGAUUCAUGAAUGAAGAUUUGAUUUUUUACCUUUGAUCUAAAUUGGAAUGAUUUGAAUAUUUUCGUGAUAAAAAAUGUAUAAAAGUGAAAAUAAGAAUGCUAAACCUAUC
rnacentral:lncRNA from 1 species